AGGGUGUGUGUGUGAGGGUGCCGUGAGGGUGUGUGUGAGGGUGUGUGUGGGUGUGUGUGUGUGUGAGGGUGUGUAUGUGUGAAAGGCACUGGGAAAAGAAUCCCAUGCUAAAUGCCCAAGAGCCCAGAGGAGAGGAAGACGGGGCCAGGAGCCUACAGAGGAGGAAGGGUAGCCAUUCUGGGCCUGGAGACCCCCACCUUCCUCCCCUAAAAUACAGGGAAGAAGAAGGCCUGCCCUAGAGGCCAGUAGGAGCUGAGCAAAAGGAAUCCUAAGUCCAAGAGAGGAGCAGAGGACCUGGCCGCCAGCUCCACCCUCCCUCCCAGGGCCAAAUUUAGCCUGGGCUUAGAAGCUGCGGCCCAGCCAGCUCAUUAAAGGGCCCACGACCCUUUGGGCCUGUGCUGUCAGACCCACCCGGGCCCUAGGACACCUCCAGCCCUCAGAGCUCCCAGCCCCUUCAUCCCAGAGCCCAGCUCCCAGCCCCAUUCCCUGGAUCCCCAGCUGGCCAUGGCAUUAACACCCCAAAGCCCUUCUGGCGCCUGCCUCACCCAACCCAGAUCCCUCUUCUGUGGGCCCUCCACACCUCCGUCUUACCACCCCUAAAUCCUGCCCCCUCAUCCUGGGCCUCCCCGCUGAACAAGGCCCCAACUUGCCCACGAGGAGAGGAGUCCAGAAGAGUGUCUCAGCCAUGGCUGCCCGGCCUGGCCCGCCCGGCCAAGCUGGGUGUCCCCUUAGCCCCUGCGUGCUUUCCUGGGCACAACACAAUCACACAGACUGCUCCAAGCUCCUCGAAGACUAGGAUCUUGUCACGUUUGUAUCCUUGGGCCUGGCACAGGGCCUGGUAACUAGUAGGUGUAGCUGGCUGGCGGCAGCUUCCUUAACAGCAAACGUAGGUGCCAUCCACCCAGCCUUUAUCCCCAGUCCAAGCACUUCAGCGUGGAGGUCUAGCAAGCCCUGGACAGGACCAGCCAGCUAGAGACAGGUGAGCGGAGGAGGCACCCUCUCUGGCCCAUGGAGUCAGGGUUCAUUCGGCGCAUAGACUUGGAGGCCUGGAGGUGGGCCACCUUGGCCACUUGCUGGGGAUGAGGCCUUGAGUGCACCAUUUGCCCUCUAGCCCAUUUCCACAACUAUAAACUGGCAAGAAUAGUGCUUGCCUCUUGGCAUCAUUGUGAGGACUCCACAAAGUAAUGAAUGCAGCGCAUAUUUAUGAAACACCUGCUAUGUAUCAGACAUUGAAAUUGCAAAGAUAAGCAAACCUCUGCCCACAUGGAGGUCACCUGCCAGUGGGUAAUACCAGCUAGCGCUGCCAGCUACUGUGCUGAGAAUCUUACAUAUAUCUACCUAUAUUACCUCAUUCCAUCUCCUCAGCAGUUCCAUGAGGCAGGUAUUAUUACUGUGCCCAUUUAACAGAUGAUAAAACUGAGGCACAGGGGUGUAUACCUUCCCCAAGGCCACAUUGCUGAUGAGUAGAAUGCAUGUGGACGGCUUAGCCCAGUGCCUGGCUCAGUCGAUGACUGUGCUGCUGAUGUACUUGCCCGGCCCUGCUUCCCCUUCCUUCUUGCCUCUGCCAAAGGAUCUCAGUCCAGGGGCGAUGGGGCGCGGUGUCCUCUCCCCAGGUCUCUCACUUAGGGCAGGCACAGGGGCACUCUCCCCAGGUGCCCUGAGAAGGGGGCGGGGACCUAUGGCUGCCAGGGUUCCCAAAUCCUUGGUGCCUGUGUGACCUCUCCUCCAGGGCCUCAAAAGGACAACAAAAUACCCCAGGCAAGGAUCACUUGGGUCCAGCCUAAGGGCACAGGUGUUGGCCUGCAGAUGGGGUGACUGGUAGGCAGGUUACGCAGUCCUUGUCCCUUCCUCUCUCUCUCUCCACCUGACUGACCCGCUCAUCCCUGGAGAGCCACCAAAUUCCAGAGUCAGCGUCCCCUCAGGCAAGGCAGUAUUUGUCCCAGCAUCACCUGGCCAUCUCUCUGUCUUCUCAGAGACAGAGGGAGGGAGGAAGAAAGGUUCUGGAGGCAGAGGAAGAGCCCAAGGGUUCUGGGGGAGCAGGCAGAAGUGCCAACCCCCUGGGCACCUGCCCAGCCUCACCCCUGAGCUUCUCCAUGUGACUCCCCGCCCCCUGCCGUCCCCCUGGCUAUUUUUGGAGCCACCCACUCAGCUGUCUUAAGGUAGCAGUGCCUGGCCCCAGUGUCACCAGGCCCACAGAGGCCAGCCUUCCUUAAUGAAAAGCUGCAGCUACUUCCCCAUCAGAUCCUCCCUGCCCAAUUCAAGGGAGCCAGGGACUGUCCCACAAGCCAGAAAGUCCCCAGAAACCCUUCUCAGGCCCCUCAGCCAUCAGAGGACCUUCCCACUCAGAGCUGUCUGGAUUGCAACCUGCUGCUUGUAACACACAGCACCUUCUGUCUAUUGGGCCUAGGGGUGGGAAGGGAGGUCACAGGGUCUUUAAACUUCUUAGUUUGAAAAAUUUGCAGCAUACUAUAAUAAGCCCCCGUGUAUCUGUCACCUGGCUUCAACAAUUAUCAACUCAUGGCCAGUCUAGUUUCAUCUGUACCCCUCCUGAUUAAUUUCAUCCAUCAAUAUUUCAGUGUGUAUCUUUAAAUGAUAAUGACUCUUUUUAACAUAAUCACAUAACACGUUCAGCUAUUAACAUCAUCAAUAAAAUUCCUUAAUAUCAAACUUCUAGUGUUCAAAUUACCAAUUUCUCAUAAACAUACAUAUUUUUACAGUGUAUUUGUUUGACUCAAGAUACAAAGAAGAUACACACAUUGCAACUGAUUGAUGAUUUAUAGGGCUUUUUUUUUUUUUUUUUUUGAGACAGAGUCUCGCUCUGUCACCCGGGUUGGAGUGCAGUGCCAUGAUCUCGGCUCACUGCCACCUCCACCUCCCAGAUUCAAGCAAUUCUCCUGCCUCAGCCUACAGGCACGUGCCACCAUGCCCAGGGGUUUCACCAUGUUGGCCAGGCUGGUCUCAAACUCCUGACCUCAAGUGAUCCACCCACCUUGGCCUCACAAAGUGCUGAGAUUACGGGCGUGAGCCACUGUGCCUGGCCAAGGCUCUUUUAAAUUUCUUCAAAUCUAUAGGUUCCCAUACAUCCUUUCUCUCUCUUUUUUCCUUCCUCCCUUCCUUCCUUCCUUCCUUCAUACUUUCCUUCCUUUCCUCCCUCCUUCCUUCCUUCCCUCCCUCCCUCCUUCUUCUUCCUUCUCUCCCUCCCUCCCUCCUUCUUCUUCCUUCUCUCCCUCCCUCCCUCCUUUCUUCCUUCCUUCCCUCCCUCCCUCCCUCCUUUCUUCCUUCCUUCCCUCCCUCCCUCUCCUUCCUUCCUUCCUUCCUUCCUUCCCUCCCUCCCUUCUCUUUCUCGUUCCUUGAAGGAGCCAGAAAAUUUCUUCUGUAGUUUUUUGCCCUCUGGAUUUUGCUGAUUGCAUCUCUAUGGUGAUCUUUAACAUGUUCCUCCCACCUCCAUACUUCCUGUACGUUGUAUUUCCUGUACAUUGUUACUGUAAUUUGUAGUUGGAUCUAGAGGCCUUAUAAGGUUUAUGUUCAAUUUCCUUCGUUGAGACCACUUCAUAGGUGGUGACAGUGUUCUUCCAUUUGAAGGCACAUCAUGCGUUUCUGUGGUCUUAGUAGUGUCUUGCCUCCGCCAUUAGCGUUUUAUUUUUUGUGUGUGUGCAGAAUAGUGAUAUUCAGAUUUGAUCACUCUGAUCACCCCUUCCUUUAUUAGCUGGAAUAAUUAUAGACAGAAACUGCCCCUUGCGAUUUGGUUACUGAGUGGGAAAGUUCGUAAAAGGAAGACGGGAGAAACGCUGGACUCUUCCUGUAUUAAACAGUUUCUGAAUAAAGAGCUGUUUCCCUAGCAUCCUCCAAACUCUGGCCAGUCCGAGCUUCUUUGGUAGUAGUAGAAUGAUGAUACAUGGUUUACACCUAUCUGACUGCUUCAGUCCAUUGCAACUAGGGUCCCUUCUGGUGCUCACAUUGCCUAUCUUUAGCUCUCCGUUUUGUCAUCCCCAGUUGGGGCGUCGGUCAGGAGAGCUGGAGGGGUCGGGGCUCGUACCCCACCUCGCACAGCUGGUGCCCUUGCCGUGCCCUAGGCUCCGCCGGUACUUCCCCGGCCUCCGCCUCACUCCUGCGGCCCAGCCCUGUCCUGAGCUAGUCGCUUCUCUGUCCUGGCCUUUUUGACAUCCGCAUCCGUCUCUCCAGCUUUCUGCCCCGUCUCUGCCCACCAGUGCCUAAAUGUAAGCCCUCUGGUCCUUUGUCCCUGUAUCUCCCCAUCCCAGUGAAUGUUUGCUGAAUGAACGAAUGACUGCUGUCCAGUGUGUCUCAUUCAGCUUCAGUUUCUGUGCACCUGUCUCUAAGUCUCUUGAGGUCUGAGGCCGUGUUUUCUUUAUCUGCAUCUAUACGUUGCCGUGAGGGACAAAGGAAAGGGCUUCUCGUCAUUGUGAUCUGAUUCUCGCAUCUGCCUCCCAGACUCCACCCACAUCUUUCUCCCCUGUCCCGUACGCCGCCUCCAGCGCAACAACAAAGACUGCGACCUGGCCAGUCCGCCACGAGAGGGCGCGUUCGCUGGCGCCAGCCCGGUCUUGCGCCUGCGCGAUGUUGGGACGGAGCGGGAGUCGGGGGCGGGAUGCCUGCGGAGCGCGCCGCCCCGGGCUGGGGAUGCGCGUCAGCAGUGCGUGCUGGGGGACGCAGUUACAGGGGGCGACGCAGGAGGGAACCCAAGGCCACGAGCUCCAUCUCGUCCUCCCCUUCCCGACCCAGAAAACGCUCUAAUCUACAGGGGGAGGAGAAGCCGCACGGAGGCAGGGGGCUGGACAUAAUGAUCUCUUCCCCAUCCCACCUCCACCCAUCCCACCAUCUGUAUCAAGCCUCCGACUUCCAAGGACAUUUCCAUAUCCCCCCAGACAUUUUGGGAUACCAGCCUGGAGACCUAAAUGUACCCAGAAUCCCCCGCCUUUUUAUCGGUGGAUUUCAGCCCUCAAAGCGUUCCGUGAGCCUCUGACCGCCCAAAUCCAUCACACAUGAGUUGGAAUGCCAGGGACCAUUCCCGGCCAAACGUUAGAUUACAGGAGUAAGAGAGAAGAGGAGGGACUGUCCGAGGUGCCUCGGCACUAUGGCUGCACAGCUGGAUCUCUGGACACGGAGCCCUGGACCGUUUCCACCCAGACACUCCCAUUCCAUCAAGUGGGGGUAAGAAGGAUCAAUGAGAUAAUGGAAGCGAAAGCGCUUUGCAAACUGUAAAGCUCUGGAGAAAGUGUGGACGUUUAUGCAAUUCUGGAAGGUCUCCUGGUGGGGACCCCUGGGAAAGAGACUAAUAAGAAAGCAUCCAGUUUCUUCGGUCUCUGACGUUGUUGUCUGCACAAGAGAGUUAAGGCAGCCAUCUUGGGACCAUGAGGGAGCCAGUCUAAGAGGCAAAUCAACACAAUGAGAGGGUGUUGGAAAAAGACAAAAAGAACCUGGUCCUUGAUGUCACAGCCAGGCCUCUGAAUUAACCACCCCCAGGACUUCUUGUUACGUGAGCUAAUAAACGUUCCUUUUUGCUUAAACCCCUUCUAGUUGGGCUUUCUGUUGUAACUUGCACCGAAAACUACAAUAGGAUAGCAAAGGAUAUGAACAUAAGUGAUUUGCCUAGAGGAAACCCACAUGGUCAAUGAGAAUAAGAUGCUCAGCCUCAUAGGCAGGGAAUGCAGCUUCAAAUGAGAUGCCACUUCAUGCCUAUCAGAUUGGCAAACAUAAGUCUAACAAGAGCAAAAGUUGGCAAGGAUGUGGUAAAACAGGAUGUCUUGUACAAACGCUGGUGGUGAGAGGAUCAAUUGGUUCAGACGCUGUAGAGAGCAGUUUGGCAGUACUAGUCAACUUCAAAGUGUGCCUGCCCGACAAUCCUAGCUUUCUAAGUAUAUGCCCUAAUAAUGGGUUCAGAGAAAAGUCCAAGCAUGUUCAUUGAAGCCCUGUUUAUAUAACAGCAAAACAGGCC
rnacentral:lncRNA from 10 species